rnacentral:rRNA from 1 species
UACGUAGGGGGCAAGCGUUGUCCGGAUUUAUUGGGCGUAAAGCGCGUGUAGGCGGCCAGGUAGGUCCGCUGUGAAAACCCGAGGCUCAACCUCGGGACGUCGGCGGAAACCAUUUGGCUAGAGUCCGGAAGAGGAGAGUGGAAUUCCCCGGUGUAGCGGUGAAAUGCGCAGAUAUCGGGCGAAGAACACCCCGUGGCGAAGGCGGCUCUCUGGGACGGUACUGACGCUGGAGACGCGAAAGCGUGGGGAGCGAACAGG